rnacentral:rRNA from 1 species
UACGGAGGGAGCUAGCGUUGUUCGGAAUUACUGGGCGUAAAGCGCACGUAGGCGGCUUUGUAAGUUAGAGGUGAAAGCCCGGGGCUCAACCCCGGAAUUGCCUUUAAGACUGCAUCGCUUGAAUCCGGGAGAGGUGAGUGGAAUUCCGAGUGUAGAGGUGAAAUUCGUAGAUAUCAGGAAGAACACCCGUGGCGAAGGCGGCUCUCUGGAACGCAACUGACGCUGAGACGCGAAAGCGUGGGGAGCAAACAGG